rnacentral:rRNA from 1 species
UGGCGGCAUGCCUUACACAUGCAAGUCGAACGCGAAAGUGGGGGCAACCCUGCGAGUAGAGGCGAACGGGUGAGUAACACAUCGGAACGUACCCAGGAGUGGGGGACAACCCCGAGAAAUCGAGGCUAAUACCGCAUACGUCCUGAGGGAGAAAGCGGGGGAUUCGCAAGGACCUCGCGCUCAUGGAGCGGCCGAUGUCGGAUUAGCUAGUUGGCGGGGUAAAAGCCCACCAAGGCUACGAUCCGUAGCUGGUUUGAGAGAACGACCAGCCACACUGGGACUGAGACACGGCCCAGACUCCUACGGGAGGCAGCAGUGGGGAAUUUUGGACAAUGGGGGCAACCCUGAUCCAGCCAUGCCGCGUGAGUGAAGAAGGCCUUCGGGUUGUAAAGCUCUUUCGGCCGGAACGAAAUCGCGUACGUGAAUAACGUGCGUGGAUGACGGUACUGGAAGAAGAAGCACCGGCUAACUACGUGCCAGCAGCCGCGGUAAUACGUAGGGUGCGAGCGUUAAUCGGAAUUACUGGGCGUAAAGCGUGCGCAGGCGGUUCUGCAAGUCAGAUGUGAAAUCCCCGGGCUUAACCUGGGAACUGCGUUUGGAACUACGGAGCUAGAGUACGGCAGAGGGGGGUGGAAUUCCACGUGUAGCAGUGAAAUGCGUAGAUAUGUGGAGGAACACCGAUGGCGAAGGCAGCCCCCUGGGCCGAUACUGACGCUCAGGCA